UCUCCGUUGGUGAACCUGCGGAAGGAUCAUUAACAAUAAGUGUUUCCCGGCACUCUUUAAACAAUCCAUAUCCACCUGGUGUGUAACGUUGUGAGACCCUCUGUCGUUAUCUUUUAGGUUACGGGGGGGGAACCUCUACCACUUACCAACAACACCUCUAACUUAUUUGUCUGAACAUUUGUUAUCGCGAAUUAACUUAAUUCGAAAAUACAACUUUCAACAACGGAUCUCUUGGCUCUC
rnacentral:misc_RNA from 1 species